UUCCGAUUGUUGAAACUCGUU
rnacentral:piRNA from 1 species